AUCUACGGCUCCCUGUAGUCUUCACUUCCCAAGUGACAGGGCUGGAUGAAGAGAUGAUUGUGCAUAAAGUGGUUUGUGAUCUUCCUAAGGGAAAGACUUGAUAAAACGUGGGCUCUUCUUAGGAUACAGCAGAUGUGCAGACUCCAGCGAAAGCCCUGCUCGCUUGAACGCAGACAGCCAUGAAUCACGCACUGUCACACUUCAGCAGGGCGGCUUGGCCAGCAGGGCUGGGCACUCGGGAAGAAGGCAGGAGCAGGAGGGGCUCACCGGCUCUCCAGUCUCUCUGGGCCUUUUUUUUUUUUUUUCUUUCUCUCCUUAAAUCAGGCAUGGGGGGUAGCUCUGCAAUAAGCUUGGAGCUGGAGCUGGAGCUGAGGGGGAGCUGUCAUAAUCCAGAGUCUCAGGCUUGGUGUCAGCAUUUUUGAGAGCUAGCCGGAGCUUGGCAGCAACCAGCACAUCUGCUGCAUUGCAGGAAGAGCUUGAGAUUUCUAAAGCUGUUUCUUUAGGAAGAUCACAGUCCUUGACUUCUGAUUUCCACAUAGACUUUCAGCAUUGGGAGCAAAAUCCUCCUGGUGUGUCAGCAAGCAGUCAGGAAAUGAGAUGCCCUGCUUACUCCCCUGGCACAGGAGCAAUAAUGCAUCGCAAGUUUCAGUUAUAAAAAAUAAAAGGAAGAAAUCAAGAUGAUGCA
rnacentral:lncRNA from 12 species